CCCGUGUUCAUGGUUGACUCACUGCCAUCUGUAUCUUUGUAUUCUUAAUGUACGGAUGAAUUCCUCAGAGGUGUCAGGAAGCCACAGCAAGCUUGGUGAUAACAAGGCAAGCAAAACUUGGGCAUCCUUCUGACAGGAAAGGUCUGCCCAAGUCCUGCUGCUUCUAGGGGGGAUGAGAGAGAAGCAGGACCUGUCCCUCGCAAGAACUGGGGUUUCCAUGUGUGCUGUGUUUGCAGGUCUCGCAGCAUGGGCAGCGUGAUGCCUCCCCGAGCCGUUCCUGCUGGAGCUUCUGUGCCUUCAGCGAGGCGUGGUGCUCAAGGUCAGGCAGCAAACGAGUCUGCCUCAGGAAUGAGGAAAAGAAGCAUUUGGAGGAGAUGGGGUGAAAACUGCAGGAAUAAUAUUCUACAAGAGCAACUGCUCUUCCUUUACCGAAAAGAAUGUCAAACUAAUUUACAGAUUUGGGUAAUUUCCAGGCUUUCUGCAGACAACUUUGCCUGCCUGCUCAGGGCAAACUCAAAGAAUGAGCUCAGUCUUGCCUGUUGCUUCUCUGUUAAAUCUAAUGCUGAUGCUGUUCUUUAUGUUCAGAGUUCUUGUAUUUUCCAGAAAGAAGAUGUUUUAUUACAAGCUCAGUAUUUUUUGUCUGGCUUCAUUUGCACCUAUUGUCUUCAUUUUCUCACGUGGUAGCUACUUCCAUAAAGAUGGACUCUUGCAUUGCAUGGAAAUGGAGUUCUCAUCUCAGCUUCUCAAAUAGGUGCUCUGGGUGAUGUAAUAGCUGCAUGUUUCCGAUCAGUUUUCUGUCCUCCUCCAUCUGAGUGCCUCUAUUUUUGUUUCUGCCUGCAUUAGACAAGAGAUUCAGAUGUUGGUAAUUAACUGGAGUUCCCCUGCUGCCAGCCCAAAUUCUGUUCCAAAAAGCUCUGUAUAUUGCUACUUCUGUAUUUGUUAACAAUGUCCAGACAACAGGUCUGCAAUUAGAUCCCCAUCUGUUAGGCUGUGCAUUUAGCAUAGCCAGUGGAUGCAAAUGAAGCUGGUUCCCUCGGCAGAGCAGCUCCCUAACUAGCAGUAUUACAUGGGGCAAGAAAUUGAGCAGUGGAUGGCAGGGAAGGAGAUGGGCAUUGCUUUACCCAUAAUAUACAGCAGCUCGGCAGUGCCCACGUGCAAACAAUAAAAUACUGUUGCUAUAUGUGAUGGUUACUCUA
rnacentral:lncRNA from 1 species